UGGGGAAUUUGGACAAUGGGCGAAAGCCUGAUCCAGCAAUGCCGCGUGUGUGAAGAAGGCCUUCGGGUUGUAAAGCACUUUUGUCCGGAAAGAAAUCCUUGGCUCUAAUACAGUCGGGGGAUGACGGUACCGGAAGAAUAAGCACCGGCUAACUACGUGCCAGCAGCCGCGGUAAUACGUAGGGUGCAAGCGUUAAUCGGAAUUACUGGGCGUAAAGCGUGCGCAGGCGGUUUGCUAAGACCGAUGUGAAAUCCCCGGGCUCAACCUGGGAACUGCAUUGGUGACUGGCAGGCUAGAGUCUCGUAGAGGGGGGUAGAAUUCCAGGUGUAGCGGUGAAAUGCGUAGAGAUCUGGAGGAAUACCGGUGGCGAAGGCGGCCCCCUGGACGAAGACUGACGCUCAGGUGCG
rnacentral:rRNA from 1 species